AGAGGGGAAGACAGCUUUAAUUUAGGUGGGUAUAUUAGAGCUCCUGAGGCGAGGUGCUCUUUGGUACUACUUUAAGGAAGUAGUGGCAAUUAAUGGGAAUAGCCUUUUAGGUAAGAAGAAAAGCAAAACUGAAACCUCUCCGGCAGAAACAAGCACUGUCCUAGGUGCUGAGGAAUACAACAGCAAACAAAAUAGACUCCUCAAGCACCAGGCUGGAUUUUAUCUCUUUAUGUCUAUUUCACCAAGUCCUCACAAUGCUCCUGCAAAGCAUUUGGGGCUUUAUCUGUUUGCUGACAUUCCCUGAAGAUGGCUGGCUGGAGUGGGAGAGUCACAGAUGUGAUGUUCUCAGUCCCAUAGCUGCAAUCUGGGCCAGGAGACCCCAAUCCGUGAGGAAGGGCUUAGGAUCUGGUAUAAUGCUACGGUGGGCCUCAAUUCCCUCAUCCACAUUUUGUUCUACCCUUAUCAGGUGG